rnacentral:rRNA from 1 species
AUCUACACCUAUUCUAAAUUGAAUGCCCUCAAUCAUAUCUGAACUUAGGAGCUAAGCAAGGUCAGGCCUGAUUAGUAUGAAUA